rnacentral:rRNA from 1 species
AUUGAACGCUGGCGGAAUGCUUUACACAUGCAAGUCGAACGGUAGAGGGGGCAACCCCUCGAGAGUGGCGAACGGGUGAGUAAUAUAUCGGAACGUGCCCAGUCGUGGGGAUAACGUAGCGAAAGUUACGUUAAUACCGCAUACGAUCUAAGGAUGAAAGCGGGGGAUCGCAAGACCUCGCGCGAUUGGAGCGGCCGAUAUCAGAUUAGGUAGUUGGUGGGGUAAAGGCUCACCAAGCCAACGAUCUGUAGCUGGUCUGAGAGGACGACCAGCCACACUGGAACUGAGACACGGUCCAGACUCCUACGGGAGGCAGCAGUGGGGAAUUUUGGAUAAUGGACGCAAGUCUGAUCCAGCCAUUCCGCGUGCAGGAUGAAGGCCCUCGGGUUGUAAACUGCUUUUGUACGGAACGAAAAGGUCUCUCUUAAUACGGGGGGCUCAUGACGGUACCGUAAGAAUAAGCACCGGCUAACUACGUGCCAGCAGCCGCAGUAA